rnacentral:rRNA from 1 species
UACGUAGGGGGCAAGCGUUGUCCGGAUUUAUUGGGCGUAAAGCGCGUGUAGGCGGCCAUGUAGGUCCGUUGUGAAAACUCGAGGCUCAACCUCGAGACGCCGAUGGAAACCAUGUGGCUAGAGUCCGGAAGAGGAGAGUGGAAUUCCUGGUGUAGCGGUGAAAUGCGCAGAUAUCAGGAAGAACAUCCGUGGCUAAGGCGGCUCUCUAGUACGGUACUGACGCUGAGACGCGAAAGCGUGGGGAGCGAACAGG